CGGACACACUGAGGAUUGACAGGAAGUAUCGUCUUUUGAAUUCUUUAAGGAUAUGUCGUUUUUAAUGACAUCUUUUAGAUGGAUGAUUCGUGUAAAUAUGCUAGUUCUUUCAUGAUUAUGUGAUAGGUGGUGCAUGGCCGUUCUUAGUUCGUGGAGUGAUCUGUCUGCUUAAUUGCGUUUCACUAAGGCCCCAAAGUUAGCAAAUUAUCAAUCGUUACAGAGUCGACCCCUCACCUUUGAGUGCGCGUCCUAACUUGUAGUACAUGGUGUAAAUGGAUUUGUUUUGGGUACCCAGAAAGCAACGAACGUGACCGCAACGUCUUGUUGUCUCUCUUUGACAGUUAUGGGUUAUCCCAGUCAUGUGUUUAUACUUUUAUGUGUAAAUACGUACGACACAGAGACUAGAUACCAAACUAGGCGUACCGCUGUAUCAUUUCUUUAAACCAGAGGAAGGUUGCGGC
rnacentral:rRNA from 1 species